rfam:Pimelobacter simplex strain VKM Ac-2033D, complete genome.
GCACGGCCGGGGACCGGCCGCCGGACGAGGGAGCCGUACCCGGAGCGCGACAAGACGGCCACGAA